UUCCAUCGAGAAAUCCUCCUAGGGCCAUUUGAGUGUGAUCUUCCAUCGAGCAUCAUCUUCAAAUAGGUCCUGUUGUUGAUGGCAUGUUCCACUGGCAAGCAACAAUUAUGGGACCAAUAGAUAGCCUCUUUGCAGGUGGUGUAUUUUUGGGAUCCAAUAUUAGACAUAUGGGACCAAAAGGCUAUGAUGAUGGUGACAAUGAGUGAAGUUACAUUUGGGUGAGGUUCUUCAAAACCUUGAGGGUGGCUUGGGUAAUGCUCAGAAAGAUUGAUGCUUGGGUGAUGAUAAAAAAUCUGGAGCAAGUGGUGACGAUGGUUUUGAACUCGUUCCAAGAUCCCCACCCUCGUGUGCGCUGGGCUGUUAUUAAUGCAAAUGGGCAAUUGCCUAUAGAUUUGGGGCCAGACCUUCAAGUUCAGUAUCAUCAACGGGUGCUGCAUGCAUUAGCCUCAACUAUGGAUGAUUUCCAAAAUCCUUGAGUACAGGUAAGUGGGUU